CCUACGGGAGGCAGCAGUGAGGAAUAUUGCGCAAUGGGCGAAAGCCUGACGCAGCGACGCCGCGUGAAGGAUGAAGGUCUUCGGAUCGUAAACUUCUGUUAAGCGGGAAGAAAGAUCGAUCUCUAAUAUAGAUCGGGGAUGACGGUACCGCUAGAGAAAGCACCGGCUAACUUCGUGCCAGCAGCCGCGGUAAUACGAGGGGUGCUAACGUUAUUCGGAUUUACUGGGUGUAAAGGGUGUGUAGACGGCUUAUUAAGUUCGUUGUUAAAUCUUCCGGCUCAACCGGGAGCUUGCGAUGGAAACUGAUAGGCUUGAGGGUGAAAGAGAGAAGCGGAAUUCUCGGAGUAGCGGUAAAAUGCGUAGAUCUCGAGAGGAACACCGAUGGCGAAAGCAGCUUCUUGGUUCACAUCUGACGUUGAGACACGAAAGCGUGGGGAGCAAACAGGAUUAGAUACCCUGGUAGUCCACGCUGUAAACGAUGAUCACUGGAUGUCAGCUUUGCUUUGCAAGGUUGGUAUCGAAGCUAACGCGUUAAGUGAUCCACCUGGGAACUACGGUCGCAAGAUUAAAACUCAAGGAAUUGACGGGG
rnacentral:rRNA from 1 species